rnacentral:rRNA from 1 species
AGUGAACGCUGGCGGCGUGGAUUAGGCAUGCAAGUCGAACGAUCCCGCAAGGGAUAGUGGCAAAAGGGUGAGUAACGCGUGAGUAAUUUACCUUCGAGUGGGGAACAACCUUGGGAAACCGAGGCUAAAACCGCAUAAGACCACGGCGAGGCAUCUCGCUGUGAUAAAAAGUGGGGACCGCAAGGCCUGCUGCUUGAAGAUGAGCUCGCGUCCUAUCAGCUUGUUGGUGAGGUAACGGCCCACCAAGGCUUUUGACGGGUAGCUGGUCUGAGAGGAUGGUCAGCCACAUUGGGACUGAGACACUGCCCAGACUCCUACGGGUGGCUG